AUACGGGAGGCAGCAGUAGGGAAUAUUGGACAAUGGGUGCAAGCCUGAUCCAGCCAUGCCGCGUGCAGGAAGAAAGCCUUCUGGGUUGUAAACUGCUUUUUUCAGGGGAUAAAAUACUCGUGCGCGAGGAAUUGAAAGUACCUGGAGAAUAAGCCACGGCUAACUACGUGCCAGCAGCCGCGGUAAUACGUAGGUGGCAAGCGUUGUCCGGAUUUAUUGGGUUUAAAGGGUGCGUAGGCGGUCAAUUAAGUCAGUGGUGAAAUACGGCAGCUUAACUGUCGAGGUGCCAUUGAUACUGGUUGACUUGAGUACUGAUGAGGUAGGCGGAAUGGACGGUGUAGCGGUGAAAUGCUUAGAGAUCGUCCAGAACACCGAUAGCGAAGGCAGCUUACUAAGGAGUAACUGACGCUGAGGCACGAAAGUGUGGGGAUCAAACAGGAUUAGAUACCCCGGU
rnacentral:rRNA from 1 species